rnacentral:misc_RNA from 1 species
AACUGAUACUACCUGCGGGAACCUGCGGAAGGAUCAUUACCGAGUGAGGGCCCUCUGGGUCCAACCUCCCACCCGUGUUUAUCGUACCUUGUUGCUUCGGCGGGCCCGCCUCACGGCCGCCGGGGGGCACCUGCCCCCGGGCCCGCGCCCGCCGAAGACAUCAUUGAACUCUGUCUGAAGAUUGCAGUCUGAGUAGAUUAGCUAAAUCAGUUAAAACUUUUAACAACGGAUCUCUAGAUC